AAAGUUUGUGGCAGUCUGGAAUUCAACCUCAGAUCAAGGUUCUCCUCUGUUGCUGAGAAACUACAGAAUUAACUCCAGUGGGAAAAUACUAUUCUGAAGCUCCCUUACCCUGGGUCUUUGAUAAAAUAUUGAAGUAGUGGACACUCAGGAACUCAGACUUUAGUGUAGAUACUUCAAACAAAAUUAUGGAGCCUCCAAGUCAGAAUUUGAAGACAACACCAUUACUAUCUCUAAGAAGAUUUCACAUUUCUGAAGAUUAUGGCUUUCUUCUUCCAAAUCCUCUGAAAGAACUUCCAGAUCAGUUUAGGCCUUGGAUGGAAAUUGCCAAUGAACUCCCUCAUUUGAUUGAGAGUCGCCAGCUUCAAGCUCGAGUGAACAAGGUUGAACAGAUGCUGUAUGAUACUUUGCUGUCAGAGAUGAAAGUUCUAAAUUGGCCAAAGGAGAAGGCUAGAAUCAACCUGUGGUACUGGAUGAGAGUUGGAAACAUGAGCAUGAAGUCAUGUUUAGCAUUAUAUAUAUGCCCCUGCUCAGCUGUCAGGGCCUCAAGAGUUACCGGGAACAGCGCCUGGCUCACUUGGUUCUCAGCUUUAUUACUAUGGGCUACGUGUGGCAGGAAGGACAGACACAACCCAAAGAGUAAACACAGGAAAUUCCCCAUGAGAAAAAGAAAGGAACAUGAGGAAGGAGACAAAAGGAAGGUUCUGCCAAGAAAUCUUGCCCUUCCCUUUGUCGAAGUCUCCAGGAACUUGGGGCUCCCUCCUAUCCUGGCCCACGCAGACCUGGUGCUAACAAACUGGACCACUAGGAAUCCGGAGAGAUCCCUGGAAAUCAGGAACUUGGACAUCAUUGUCUCACUUCCUGGGGGAGAGAGCCUGCGUGGCUUUAUACUGGUGACUGUUUUGGUGGAGAAAGCUGCAGUACCUGGGAUUAUGGCACUUGUUCAGGCUGUGAAUGCCAUCCUGCAGCACAGGGACAACUCCCUGCUCCGAGCCCUGCAGCAACUGAGACUCUCCAUUCAGGACAUCACCAGAACCUUAGGACAAAUGCACAAUUAUGUUGAUCCAGACAUAUUUUAUGCAGUCAUCCGGAUCUUUCUCUCUGGAUGGAAGGAUAACCCAGCAAUGCCUGUGGGGUUGACCUAUGAAGGAGUCUCCACAGAGCCCUUGAAGUACUCUGGAGGGAGUGCAGCUCAGAGCACAGUGCUUCAUGCCUUUGAUGAAUUCUUAGGCAUUUGUCAUAGCAAGGAAAGUGCAGAAGCUUCCUGUCUCUAAACUGGGAGAGAGAUCUGGAGUUUGAAAGCUGUGGCAUCAAGUUACUAACUCUGGAUAUAGCUGGUGAUGGGUCUGAGCUCCUCCACUAAAGCCUUUCCUUGUAAAAUUGCUGCAACCUCAGGCCAAGUCUGUUUCGACUAGAAGAGGAGUCUACCAGCUGACUUUCUGCACAGGAUGAGGGAGUACAUGCCUCCUUCCCAUAAGGCCUUUAUAGAAGAAAUCCAUUCAGCUCCCUCACUGAGAGACCACAUCCUGUCCUCUGGAAAUGACCAACUUCUGACAACCUAUAACGAGUGUGUGGAGGCCCUGGUGGAGCUUCGCAGCUAUCACAUCACUGUGGUGACCAAAUACCUCAUCACAGUGGCCACCAAAGCAAAGGGCAGGAAGCCAAACCAUCUCCCUGGGCCAUCACAAGCCUUAGAAGAGAGGGGCACAGGUGGCACUGUAGUUCUGAGCUUCCUGAAGAGUGUCAGGGACAAGACUUUAGAGGCAAUUCUCCACCAAAGUGAUUAAGAGACUGCCCUCUGCCCAACAAUGCAAAACCAGCAAACUUGGGUGUCCCUUUCCCUCUCUCCCUUUGGAGCGCACAUGGGCCUGAAGAAUAAGAAUGUCUGGAAUAAUCUGAAAGGGAUAUCAGCCUUAUAUAUGUUCCUGCACUGUAGAACACCAUCUCCUCCUGGGUUGAGAGCUGUUUGUCUUCACAGAGGAAAAUUUCUGCAGCCAGAAACGUUCCUUUCCCUGAUUACUGCUUAAUAGCAAACAGCUUUGGACACUUCCUCAUUCAGAAUGCUACAGAGGAGCAAGUGUGCCCCUAUUCUAUUUGCAAAGUGUUAGAAAACCAAUCUAAAUUUCAAAAACCAAAUAAAAUUGCGCGUAGACAGAU